AUUGAACGCUGGCGGCAGGCCUAACACAUGCAAGUCGAGCGGAUGAAGGGAGCUUGCUCCUGGAUUCAGCGGCGGACGGGUGAGUAAUGCCUAGGAAUCUGCCUGGUAGUGGGGGAUAACGUCCGGAAACGGGCGCUAAUACCGCAUACGUCCUGAGGGAGAAAGUGGGGGAUCUUCGGACCUCACGCUAUCAGAUGAGCCUAGGUCGGAUUAGCUAGUUGGUGGGGUAAAGGCCUACCAAGGCGACGAUCCGUAACUGGUCUGAGAGGGUGAUCAGUCACACUGGAACUGAGACACGGUCCAGACUCCUACGGGAGGCAGCAGUGGGGAAUAUUGGGCAAUGGGCGAAAGCCUGAUCCAGCCAUGCCGCGUGUGUGAAGAAGGUCUUCGGAUUGUAAAGCACUUUAAGUUGGGAGGAAGAGCAGUAAGUUAAAACCUUGCUGUUUUGACGUUACCAACAGAAAAAGCACCGGCUAACUUCGUG
rnacentral:rRNA from 1 species